GAAGGAGUUGGUAGAUCAGAAAGAAAGUAAAUACUCCUUACAGAAUGGUACGUUGAAAUUCAAGGACCGGUUAGUCCUUACAAAGAACUCUACUUUGAUUCCAGUAAUUUUAAAUACUUAUCAUGAUUUGGCAAUUGGUGGUCAUGCUGGGUUUUUAAGAACCUAUAAGAGGAUAGCCAGUGAGUUGUUUUGGGAGGGAAUGAAAAUAAACAUAAAGAAACACUGUGAGGAGUGUUUAAUAUGUCAAAGAAACAAAUGCUUAGCACUAUCUCCAGUUGGUUUAUUAGUUCCAUUAGAGAUUCCACAAACCAUAUGCAGAGACAUUUCCAUGGAUUUUGUGGAUGGUUUACCAAAGGCUAACAGUUUUGAAGUCAUAUUGGUUGUGGUAGAUCGUUUGAGUAAAUACGGGCACUUUCUACCUCUUAAACAUCCUUAUACGGCUAAGGUGGUUGCAGAAUUAUUUGUGAAAGAGAUUGUUUGACUGCAUGGUUUUUCCCUGUCAAUUUUUCCUGAUCUGGACAAAAUCUUCCUCAACCAUUUAUGGUAGGAGCUUUUUCAUUUAUCUGGUACUAAACUAAAUAAGAGCACUGCUUACCAUUCUCAAUCGGACGGCCAGACAGAGGUUGUAAACAGAGGCUUGGAAACGUACGGUCUUUCUGUAGUGAAAAGCCUAAAGAAUGGGUUAAAUAGCUGCCAUGGGCGGAAUAUUGGUAUAAUACCACGUUCCAAAGGGUGAUAGGUGUUUCUCCUUUUCAAGUUGUUUAUAGUCGUAAACCUCCAACUCUGUUAUCUUAUGGUAAUGCUGAAACAAAAAAGGCUUCGAUUGAUGAGAUGUUGAAAGAGAGGGAUGAUGUUUUGAGUGCUUUACGAGAACAUUUACGGCUAGCACAAGAGUAGAUGAAGAGUUAUGCUAACCGCAAACGAAGGGAUGUAGAAUUUUGCGUAGGUGAUUGUGUUUUUGAAAAUCCGUCCUUAUAGGCAAUUGACCUUAGGAAGAAAAUGUAAUGAAAAGCUUUCUCCCAGAUUUUUUGGGCCUUAUAAAAUUUUGGAGAAAAUUGGCAUGGUGGUCUAUAAGCUUGAACUACUAGUUGGUACUACUAUUCAUCCUGCUUUUCACGUGUCUCAAUUGAAGAAGUUAGUAGGGAAGCACAUAAAUGUACGGCCUACCAUUCAGUAUGUUAAUGAGAACUAUGAAGGGAAAUCUAAUCUUGAAGAAGUUCUUAAGUAUCAGAAAAACAAGGCUGGACAGUGGGAAGUGUUGGUUAGCUGGGAAGGGUUGCCACGACAUGAAGCUUCUUGGGAGACAUAUGAAGAGAUGCAGCGGGCAAUCUGGAACUUCACCUUGAGGACAAGGUGAAUUUGGAAUAGGGAGUAAUGUUAGACCUCCUAUCAAGCUUGUAUAUAGUAGGAGAAAGAAUAAAAAUAAAUCACACGAUAUACAUGUGUGAAUUAGUAAUAGGUUGGUUGACCUUUAGUAUAAAAUGUUUUCUGUUUAAGCGGGAAGGGCAUUAUGAAAUUUUUGUUAGAUUGGUUAGGCCUCUGUAACUUCUUGAGAGAAAGAAGUACAAUUGAGAGAAGUACACUUGAGAGUUGUGAGAAGAAUUGAGAUUUCCUCAAUUCUCCUAUAUUGUAAUCGAUUCAUAAUUCAAUAAAGAGUGAAAUUCAGAUAAGGAAGUAGAGUUCUAACAUAAACUUAUCUGCGGAGAAAGUAUUAAUUACAACUGUAAAUUUCUUUUUCUUCUCUUAACAAGGUUGUUGCUAUUGUCCUCACACUGUUAUAUCUUGCCCUGUCAUAUGGAUUGUACGUUCAUGAUUGGGAGUACCAAGUUCCAAGUCUAACUCCAUCCAAUGUGGCUUCUCCAAAGAUAUUUUCUAUGAGCAUUGAAUCUUUUUAAUUUAUAUUAUUUCCAUUUAGGGGUUAAGAAUACCAUAAUGGUUAUAAUUGGUUAGUUGGAUGGCGUCUCGCUUAAUCCUCUAAUUUCAGGUGAAAUGUGGCACACAUGGUGACACUGGACCUGUCUGCAAUGUUGUGGGAAUGAUAGAUCGUAAGAUAUUUGGUAUCCAACAUCUAUAUAAAAUACCUAUUUAUGCGCGGACUGAGCAUUAAUGCACCAGACUAUGGUCCAUUGCCUCCUGAUGCUCCUUGGUGCCAAGCUUCGUUUGAUCACGAAGGACUUUUAAGUACAGUGAUUGUCUUUCUUAGCUGCUUGGUUGGCUUACAUUAUGGAAAUAUGAUUGUACAUUUCAAAGUGAGGGAGACAGUCCAACUAACAUUGCACCUUUUACAUUGAUGGAUUUGUGAAUGUUCUAUGUAGGAAAAAACAUUUGAAUGGGUGUAAUUAAGUAUGUAAUGACCAAUUUAUAUAUGUAUGGUUUAUUGAUA